UACGUAGGGGGCAAGCGUUGUCCGGAGUUACUGGGCGUAAAGGGCACGCAGGCGGUUGUGUCAGUUUGCGGGGACAGUGAGCGGCUUAACUGCUCAAGGGUCGCAAAGACGGCACGACUACGAGAGCGAGAGAGGGACCUGGAACUCCGGGUGGAGCGGUGAAAUGCGUAGAGAUCCGGAAGAACACCACUGGCGAAGGCAAGGUCCUGGCUCGUAUCUGACGCUGAGGUGCGAAAGCUAGGGGAGCGAACGGG
rnacentral:rRNA from 1 species